rnacentral:rRNA from 1 species
GACGAACGCUGGCGGCGUGCUUAACACAUGCAAGUCGAACGGAAAGGCCCUGCUUUUGUGGGGUGCUCGAGUGGCGAACGGGUGAGUAACACGUGAGUAACCUGCCCUUGACUUUGGGAUAACUUCAGGAAACUGGGGCUAAUACCGGAUAGGAGCUCCUGCUGCAUGGUGGGGGUUGGAAAGUUUCGGCGGUUGGGGAUGGACUCGCGGCUUAUCAGCUUGUUGGUGGGGUAGUGGCUUACCAAGGCUUUGACGGGUAGCCGGCCUGAGAGGGUGACCGGGGACAGUGGGACUGAGAGACGGCGCAGAGGGCGACGGGAGGCAGCAGUGGGGAAGAUGGGACAAGGGGCGGAAGUGGGAUGAAGCAGCGCUGCGUGUGGGAGGACGGACGUCGGGGUGUAAAAAGAAUUAGGCUGUGACGAAGAGUGAGUGACGGUAAGGGGAAAAGAAGCACAGGCUAACGACGUG